UUUUUUUUUUCCACCAUCCAAACCCCUCCUUUAGAGUUUUGGAAUAGGCUCAGGACGAACGCUGGCGGCGUGCUUAACACAUGCAAGUCGAGCGGUAAGGCCUUUCGGGGUACACGAGCGGCGAACGGGUGAGUAACACGUGGGUGAUCUGCCCUGCACUUCGGGAUAAGCCUGGGAAACUGGGUCUAAUACCGGAUAUGACCUCCUAUCGCAUGGUGGGUGGUGGAAAGAUUUAUCGGUGCAGGAUGGGCCCGCGGCCUAUCAGCUUGUUGGUGGGGUAAUGGCCUACCAAGGCGACGACGGGUAGCCGACCUGAGAGGGUGACCGGCCACACUGGGACUGAGACACGGCCCAGACUCCUACGGGAGGCAGCAGUGGGGAAUAUUGCACAAUGGGCGAAAGCCUGAUGCAGCGACGCCGCGUGAGGGAUGACGGCCUUCGGGUUGUAAACCUCUUUCAGCAGGGACGAAGCGCAAGUGACGGUACCUGCAGAAGAAGCACCGGCUAACUACGUGCCAGCAGCCGCGGUAAUACGUAGGGUGCAAGCGUUGUCCGGAAUUACUGGGCGUAAAGAGUUCGUAGGCGGUUUGUCGCGUCGUUUGUGAAAACCAGCAGCUCAACUGCUGGCUUGCAGGCGAUACGGGCAGACUUGAGUACUGCAGGGGAGACUGGAAUUCCUGGUGUAGCGGUGAAAUGCGCAGAUAUCAGGAGGAACACCGGUGGCGAAGGCGGGUCUCUGGGCAGUAACUGACGCUGAGGAACGAAAGCGUGGGUAGCGAACAGGAUUAGAUACCCUGGUAGUCCACGCCGUAAACGGUGGGCGCUAGGUGUGGGUUCCUUCCACGGAAUCCGUGCCGUAGCUAACGCAUAAGCGCCCCGCUUGGAGACGCAAAGGC
rnacentral:rRNA from 1 species